UUCAAGGCCUUUUUAAAGGCCACCACCGUUGAGCUUAUGACAUUCU
rfam:Echinostoma caproni strain Egypt genome assembly, scaffold: ECPE_scaffold0032928